GCCCGGAUAGCUCAGUCGGUAGAGCGUUAGGCUUAACCUAACGGUCCAGGGUUCGCGCCCCUGUCCGGGCG
rnacentral:tRNA from 1 species